GACUGCUCUGGUCAUGCAGUGGUUAAAGCAUCUGCCUCGGAUGCAGGAGGUCAUGGGUUUGAACCCUAGCUGAGUCA